GAAACCCAAUUCCUUCAACAUUCAAUACACCAAAUAUAGCGUACCAAACAAAUGACCACCCCACUUGAUUCUCCUUCUUCACGCCAGCAAAUUCAGAUAUCCCGGAGAACCAGCAAUCCAAAAGAAAAACCGGUCCAACUACGUCACAGUCUCAUUAAUUUGGAAAAUCUGGAAAAAAGUCGUGUCGUCCACAUUUUCUUGUUUUAGCAGCAACGACCCUCGUAUUGAAAUCUCCUUGCUAGAUCGUCCUUCGCUCAAAAUCAAUGUCUCUCUUCAAAAAUCUGUUGAGAUUCAUCCAAUCCACCUGUUUCCCCCCGAUUUCUAUCUAUAUAUUCAUCUCUCUCAUUCAUAGUUUAAACUUAGAAAAAAUAGGAAGAAAAAUAAGGAACGAUAGACAAAAAAUAAAGUAGAGAAAAAUAGAGUUGAGAGAGAGUUCUACCAUUUAAUAGAAAAUAAGGAGAACAUAGGAGAGAAAAAAGAGUAGUAAAGAGUAGAAAAAGAAAACAGAGAGUUUGAGUCUUUUCUAUUUGAAAUCGAAGUUGUUUUAUUUUUUGUAGUGCAUCGAAAUCGCCUCACAAUGGUGGUAGUUCUUCGUGGCUAAGCUCGUCAUCUUAGUUCACUACCCCAUAAAAGUCAAUGGUGGACUAAUCUAUGUUGCACUUCCGAGUUAAACCAUAAAGGCCCAAUCUUUUCUUUCCAGUCAGACAUCCUAUAUAUUUGGAAGCUAUUACAGGUUCUAUAGCUCAAACAUACUGGUGGAAGUUAGCUCAAAAGCCCAAGAAAUGGAUUGUAUACAUAUUUUAUACAACUCUAUACACUGAUAUACAGGUUUAGUUGAGAAAAUAUGUCACCAAAAACAUAUAUACAGGUUGGAGGCGUCAAAGCGGACUGUAUGCAGCCGCUAUACAGUUUGAUAUACAAACAAAGAGUGAAGAAAUGACCCAUAAACACUUGGUGUAUACACACGAUUUCAAGGGUUAAAAUAGGGCCAGAGCACAUCAACAGCUUUAAAAGCCCAAGUCCAUUACCUUUUCAUUUAUUUGAUUGCAUUUCUUCAUUUAUUUGAUAUUUUUAACUCUAAUUGUUUAUUUGCUUCAUUAUGCUUUCAUUUAAUUAACAAAAAGAUAAACUAUAUUCUUUAUGGUAGUA